GACGAACGCUGGCGGCGUGCUUAACACAUGCAAGUCGAACGGACAGGCCCUGCUUUUGUGGGGUGCUCGAGUGGCGAACGGGUGAGUAACACGUGAGUAACCUGCCCUUGACUUUGGGAUAACUUCAGGAAACUGGGGCUAAUACCGGAUAGGAGCUCCUGCUGCAUGGUGGGGGUUGGAAAGUUUCGGCGGUUGGGGAUGGACUCGCGGCUUAUCAGCUUGUUGGUGGGGUAGUGGCUUACCAAGGCUUUGACGGGUAGCCGGCCUGAGAGGGUGACCGGCCACAUUGGGACUGAGAUACGGCCCAGACUCCUACGGGAGGCAGCAGGGGGGAAUAUUGCACAAUGGGCGGAAGCCUGAUGCAGCAACGCCGCGUGCGGGAUGACGGCCUUCGGGUUGUAAACCGAUUUCGCAUGUGACGAAGCGUGAGUGACGGUAAUGGGUAAAGAAGCACCGGCUAACUACGUG
rnacentral:rRNA from 1 species